UGUCAGUUGGUGCUUUUGUGUAUCACCAGGAAUCUAUGAUGCUCCUCAUUCCAUAUCUGCCUUUGAUAGGCCAUCAAAAGCAACCUGGGGUAACAUCAAAGCACUGCACAGAAAUCAGCAUCCGCAUGUGGCUUUUGACAAGGACAAGAGCACCGGCUCAGGGCUGUCUGCUCCUCAGCAGUGUUUUCCAGAGGAUUCCAAGGGCUGAGGUGGGCUCAGGAGCUGCACUGGAUUCAUGUAAGGGAGACUGGAACAUGUCCUGUGGUCUUGAAGUUUUAGGGAUACAUCAAUAAAGAAAGGGAAUGAAGUCUCAUCUUGGAUGGAGCACACUCACCCUCCUCAGACGGCAAAGCGACCUGGGACAUGGCCAGAGGAGAGAGCUGAAAAAUUACCAGAUUUUGUGGGAAAGAAGUAGUGGGGAAAAAAAUAAAAAGCACAAAAAAAUCA
rnacentral:lncRNA from 1 species